rnacentral:lncRNA from 10 species
CCGUCCCCAACACCUGCUCCUUCCCAGACCCUCAUCCCCCUGCCCCAGUCUCGCUCUUCAGCGCACCCCCGGCACCUCCAUUGCGUCCCCUCCCCCCACCUCCUCGUAGCGCCCCCAUCUGCUCCCCGCCCCCGCCCGCCGGGGAAAGCCCAGCUGACGCUUCCGGCACCGCCCCCUUCCCGGCAGGGCCGCUCCCCGCCCUUCCCGCCCGCGGGAGCAACACCGCCCCCCGCGCCCCACCCCGCGCCCCGCCGCCCGCCCGGGUCCCCCAAGCCCGCUCUGCGCAGGGCGGGGUCCUUCCUCUGCAAAGGGCGGACCGAAGACCCGGGCGCCGGGCAGAGGCUGGAGGGGGGCCCGGGUGGGGUGAAUCCCCAGUGGGUGCCCGCUCCCCACCCCCACCGCGACCACCAGCCCCCGCUCCGAGCAGGGACUCCGAGGCUUGCGGGUGACCCUCGAGUGGUGGCCGCCCUGUGGCCCAGAGAGCCCCGUCGCAGGCAGGUGGGUGAGCGCAGAAAGACGCUGGCCCUGGACUGCCGUUUGAGGGGUGAGGGGCCAGAUACCCCUCCCUGGCUCUGGGGGGAUCCUCCCAAAGGCCAGACCGGGGUAGGGGGGAGAGCGGACCCUGCUCAACGGCUGGGAACGGUCUCUCCAGAAGGAUCCCCCGGGAGUGGGUGGAGGGGGUCUCUGGAGAGGUGGGUGCCCUGCAGCCUCCUCAGGCCAGGCCACUCCCGGCCCCUCACUGGUGCAGAGCAGCCGGCUUGGGGUUUGGGAAGACCGCAGCCCCAGGGAGGCGGGGAGGGGCGCUGGGCCUGGAGGGGGAGUGUGUGGCCUGAGAGCCGGUGGCCCCCACCAGCCACAUUACAGUAAGCCUUUCUGGGCCCCAGCACCGCCCCCCACUCCCCUGCAGGACCUGGGCCCUUCUGCCCCCCGACCCCCAGGGCCCACCUGGCACAGGCUCAGUCCACACCCGCGUGCUGGUCACGGGCAUAUGAGGAGGAGGGCAGGGCCACUGGGCCAGGGCCCUCCACCCUGAGUCACCCCACUGACGACCACCCUUCCCAGGUGGCAGGCAGAGUCCCCACCCCAGGCCUGCGGGGUCUGGGAGUCUGAAAAGGGACAGAGCCGGACCGGGGGGCUGAGGGAGCAGCAGGGGCAGGCUGAGGAGAGCACCCCACUGAAGGCCACACCCUUUGAGUCAUCCUGUGGUGGCCAAAGGCCCAGCCCCCUCCUCACAGCUCAGCACGCUGAAGAAGUCUCAGGGUGCCUCACCUCACCCAGCCCCCAGGUCAGCUGAGGACAUGGCUGAGGCGCCAAGACCGCCUGCCACUCUGGAGCCAGCCACAGACAGGCAGCGCCAGGGAGGUGUACAGGCAAAGGCACUCUGUCCAGCGGGCACCACUGGCGGUGGACGCGACGGGAAGGGGCCUGCACUCUUGGGGUGGGUGAGCCUGGGGUGAGAGUCCAGGGGGCACAACCUUGAGAACAGUGUCCUCGGGGGGCUGCUGGUGCCCGCCCCUGAAGCUCUGGAAAAACAACAGAAGGCUGCAUGGAGAGGCCAGGAGAACACGCACAGACUCAGUGACCAGAGGGGCCACCAAUAGGUGACCCCAUCCCCGGGGGUCUGCUGUGCCCCGGCCUCGGUGCUGGCUGGGAAGAAACAGGAUGUCUCCAAACCGUGCCUCCUCCGUGGGAGAGGCCGGCCCCCUGCCCCGGCUCCCCAGGACCUGCCCGAGACCCUCCUGGGAUUACCCAGGACCUGCCCGAGACCCUCCUGGGAUUAAGUUGCAGUGUAUCCUGGUGGGGAUGUGCUGGCCCAGUGACAAAGGGGCCACAGCCUGAAGGAGCCCGGGACCCGAAGCCGUGCCCAGCCAGAUAAGCUGCAUGUGGUGGACGGCGGAGAGCUGACGGGUUGUGGGCCCUUUUCUGAGGACUAGGACCCCAGGAGGCGGUGUCCUCUGCUGCUCUGUUUCACGGCCCAGAGGCUCCUGGAGUGUGGGACACACGUGAGGAGGGGUGAAUGUCAGAACAGCCACCGCAGACAGGGGCUGAAAGUCAUGUGGCACCACAGAUCCCAGCUGUCCUCUGGAACUGAGAGCAGGGGACGGUCACAGCACUGGACUGGCUGACAGGGACGGGGGUGAUGGCCAGGCAGCAGCAUUUGACCAUCAGUGGCUGUGAAGGCAGCUCUCUAAUGAGUUGCAGGGCUGGAGCGGGCCCAGGGUCAGAGCUGCGUGGGGUUGUGGAGGUGGCUGAUAGAACAGCAUGUUCCUGGGAGAGGGACAGGCAGCCCACAAGAGACUGCUCAGCUUGUUGGAGCAAAAUAUAUUAGGGUUGUGUGAUGCGGAGGUCAAGGGUACUCGCUCCAAUAAAAAGUCAGGGCCGGUCGUGGUGGCUCAAGCCUGUAAUCCCAGCACUCUGCGAGGCCAAGGCAGGUGGAUCACUUUGAGGUCGGGAGUUCAAGAGCAGCCUGCUCAACAUAGUGAAACCCCAUCUCUACUAAAAAUACAACAGUUAGCUGGGCGUGGUGGCAGGUGCCUGUAAUCUCAGCUACUCGGGAGGCUGAGGCAGGAGAAUUGCUUAAACCUGGGAGACAGAGGUUGCAGUGACCUGAGAUCACACCACCGCACUCUAGCCUGGGCAACACAGAGAGACUCUUUCUUGAAAAUAGAUAAAUAAGGCCGGGCGUGGUGGCUCACGCCUGUAAUCCCAGCACUUUAGGAAGCCGAGGUGGGCGGAUCACGAGGUCAGGAGUUCAAGACCAGCCUGACCAAUGUGGUGAAACCCCCAUCUCUACUAAAAAUACAAAAAUUAGCCGGGCGUGGUGGUGCAUGCCUGUAAUCCCAGCUACUCGGGAGGCUGAGGCAGGAGAAUCACUUGAAUCCGGGAGGCAGAGGCUGCAGUGAGCCGAGAUCGCGCCACUGCACUGUCAGCCUGGGCUACAGAGUGAGAUUCUGUCUCAAAAAUACAUAAAUAGGGCCGGGUGCUGUGUCUCACACCUGUAAUCCCAGCACUUUGGGAGGCCGAGGCGGGUGGAUCACGAGGUCAGGAGAUCGAGACCAUCCUGGCUAACACGGCGAGACCCCCGUCUCUACUAAAAAUGCAAAAAAUUAGCCGGGCGUGGUGGCAGGCGCCUGUAGUCCCAGCUACUCGGGAGGCUGAGGCAGGAGAGUAGUGUGAACCCGGGAGGUGGAGCUUGCAGUGAGCCGAGAUCGCGCCACUGCACUCCAGCCUGGGUGACAGAGCCAGACUCCAUCUCAAAUAAAUAAAAAUAAAUAAAUAAAUAAAUAAAUAAAAAGUCAUGACGCUGCCCAGUUUCUAGACCUGAGUGGGUUUCUGACCCAGAGAAAUCUCACUAAAGUGAAGGCUGAGUCCCUAAGAGGAAGAUGUGCAACGCCAAGGCAAAUCCACACCAUGAUGAUUCUGGCCCCCUGCCCCCGCCCCCGCCCGCCACCACCACCAGACGGCCUGUGGCCGCCGACCUCGGUAACCAGACACAGUGCAACGGAAAUACGCACACAUCUUCAGAAGUGCUGGACACAGGGUUUGAGUGAUGCUGGCAUCUGAAGGCCUGAAGCAUCCUCAUGGCUCCCGUUAGAGCGAGGGGCUGACAGGAGCCAGGGAAGCAGUGGAAUUCGGGCCAGGUCUGAUCCACCAGCCUCGAGUCUGCACAUUCAUCCAGUGGGUCAUUUCCCCAGUCACAGGACGGAUGGAGCUGACAUUCUUGAUGGUAGACACCAUUUCCUUGGCCAUCAUAAUGGAGACUGGCACCAGCUGAAUGAAUGUCCCCAGGAUGUCACACUGGCCCCCUCUAUCGAUGGUGCUGUGCUAAUGAGACCAGAUGACCAAGACAUGGUGAGCACACUGGGCCCUCCUGAGCGAGAAAAUCCCCUCCAAAGCAGAGGACAGAUAAGUGGCUGCCUCUUGCAGCCCCCGCCAGGACACACGGCACCUGGAAGGCUUCUGGGAGCUGGAACAGUAUGUUCCACAUUUGGGGACUCUGUUCCAACCCAAUACUGGGGGACACAAAAGGACAGCUCUGAACAGGCACAGAGCAGGACCAGCUCCACCGCCGUCCAAGCCCAACUCCGGUGUCCCGGCUGCUACUUACGAUCUGACUCUGCAGACCAAAGGCACGGGUGGUAAAGGAGGGGUUAAGGUCAAGUGCCUGUGGAAGACCCUCCCCAAACACAGUGCAGAGGAGGCCCAUGCCAUCCUCAGUGUGUGCCUGCGUCGAGGACUCCUGCUGUGGUUCUGGGCCCCUGUGGAGAUGCACAGCCUGGCCAUGGGAUGCCCCAUGGCUGUGUCUCUGCCUUGCCCGCUGGCACUGGCUAUUAGACCGGCCCUGUCAUGAGGUUGAGCAGGCAACGGUCAUCUUCAGGGGGAUGUGGUACAUCCAGGACAGCAGGACGCAGCACGCAUAGGUGGUCCCGGCCUGCGCGGACCCCACCCCAUGAUUCGUGUUCCCAGAGCAGACCCACGUUCACACCAUGGCCGCCUCCCUGUCUAACAUGCCUUGGCUGAGGUCCAGGCCCCUGUCCAGGGACUGCUGUGAGCAUCUGUCUGCCUUGGUGGCAGCGGGAGCUGGCUUGUCCUCUGGUGGGGGCCAUCCUCUGUGGCAGGGUGUCCUGUGCCCUGGCAGAAGCACUCCUCACCAGGUCGUGACAACCCACAGCACCUCCAGAGGCGGUCCCCUGUCCCCUGGAGGACACAACAGCUGCCUGUUGAGAACCGCUGGCUCACAGAACGUCUCAUCCUGCGGAUCCCGCCCACUGUCUGUUGCAUUCGACCAAGGGACGCGUUUACAGCAAAGCCAGGGGUGGGCUUGACCAGGGGGCACUUCUAGAAGCUUCUAGCCUGACAAGGAGUGCCCUGUGGGGAUGGAAGCCAUCUCCAGGACCUGCGUAUGUGCCAAAGCAAGAUGCCGGGGUCUGGGAACCAAAGUGGAGGCCCUCUCGGCCCUGCAGACCCCAGUCCUGGCUCCCAGAGGGUGGGACUCCCCCAGGGCUAUGGCAGGGUCUCUGCCUGGGCCCAGAAGGACAGCGGAGGUCCACAGUUCACCCCAACCUCCCCCUUCCAAGUUCCCCUUUUAGAAAGACGCCCCGGCAGCGCCGAGGUGUGACGGGGCAGGUGCAGCGGGCAGGGGCCGGCCGAGUCCCGGGAGCCGGGCCGAGCAGGGCGGUCCCACAGCGCCACCUGCUGGCCGCGCGCGUCCCGGUCCCCGACCCAGGCCGGGCGGCUCCGAGGGGCGGUACCUCGCGCGGCCUCGCGGUCCACCUGCUGGGCCCGGGCAGGGGUCGCGAUCCGAGGCAGGGUCCGCUGUGUCCGGCGGGAGCGGGCGGGGCGCGGGCGGCGCCGCGUGGGGAGGGGCGGAUCAGAGCCCCCCCAGGAGGCGGCGCUCCCGGUCCCGGCCCCAGCCCCAGCCCCAGCCCCAGCCCCGCAGGCGCCCCUCGAGCACCCGGGCAGGUGGACCCCAGCCCCGCGGUUCCAAGGACCCUGCCUGCGCCCUCGCCUCGGCCCUGCCGCAGGGUCUUGCGGGGUCGUCCCCCAUUCCUGCUCAACCGCCCCCCCCAGUCCCCGUCCCCCGUGUCCCGCGGGCACCUCUCCUGGCCUGGCCCCGACCCCCCUCCGAGGACUCCCUAGCGUUCACUGGCGACAAAGUGGAUAUGCGCGCCCGGGGUCCUGCUCCCAACGUCCGGAACCGCGGCCCCUGUCCUGUACACCUCCCGUCCUCGACUCCCCGGGCCCAGGAGGGUCGCCGUCUCCAGCGUGGACGUGCGGGUACCCCCCAGGGACAAGGCCUGCCUUCUGGGCUUCCCGCUGGGGUCGCCUAGUUCCCACCCACCCGUGGGUGGCUCCACCCUCCCACGGGAGACUCAGGUGCUCGGCCCCCCAGGGACUCAGCUGGUGUUUCCCUACUUCUUUCCACGGCCAUCCCUGUGGACUCUCCACCAUGCUCUGAUCCCACUUUCUGAGCCCCCCAAGGGCCCACCCAGCCCCCGCCCCUCUGGCCUCUGCCCUUGGUCUGCACCGUCAGGACCUCAUCUCUAGGUGGUCCCAUCAGCACAUGAAGCGGAAACUGCCUGAGAGGGCUGAAGUGGACAAGAGCAGCCCCCACCUCGCCUAAGCUGAGCUGUGCCCCCUCUAGGGAUUUGGGGCACCCUGGCCUAGGGUUAGAGGGAGAAAGGGAGAGGCCGUGAGGCUGCUGAGUGCAACUGACUCAGGAAGAGCCAGAGGCGAGAUGCAGGGCCAGGCACCACUCAGCCUGCCCAAGUGGGCUGUGGCUGCCUCUGCGGGCCGGGGACCCACGGGGCAGAGUCCUACCACAGGGGCUCUUCCAAUACCCAGUGUCUUCAUUCCCAGAUGAGGAACGGGCAGGCCCUGCGGUUUGUGAGUGGCUGUUUCCUCCAGCGAAGCCCCCAAAGAUGCUUUUCCCCUGCCUGAGGGUCCCUGCUUGUACAUCCUUUGAAUCACUGAAGAGGGCCCAUAGGUUGGACCCCUGAAACCCACCUGGUCACGUCUUCAGGUUCUCGCCCAAGGCAGGGCCCUCCCCUCCUCCCCCAAGCGGCACGUGAGCCCUGUUCAGGGACAGCAGAGCCACCAGCCCAGGACCGGACCUGCUGCCUCUGCGGACCUCGGCAGCCCUGGUCACUCCCGGCUCUGGCAGGACAGGUGCAAACUCAGUGGUAAAGGUCCGUCCUGAUUAAUGAGACAAACCCACGCCCGUUCUCCUCCUGAUUACCUACAAUGGUCAAUUUUAUUACAAAGAACUGUAUCAAAAUAUACAAGUCUGUUUAAGAACAACCAAGAAAUGCAGCUGUUUA